rnacentral:rRNA from 1 species
AUUGAACGCUGGCGGCAUGCCUUACACAUGCAAGUCGAACGGCAGCACGGGUGCUUGCCCCUGGUGGCGAGUGGCGAACGGGUGAGUAAUACAUCGGAACAUGUCCUGUAGUGGGGGAUAGCCCGGCGAAAGCCGGAUUAAUACCGCAUACGAUCUACGGAUGAAAGCGGGGGACCUUCGGGCCUCGCGCUAUAGGGUUGGCCGAUGGCUGAUUAGCUAGUUGGUGGGGUAAAGGCCUACCAAGGCGACGAUCAGUAGCUGGUCUGAGAGGACGACCAGCCACAGUGGGACUGAGACACGGCCCAGACUCCUACGGGAGGCAGCAGUGGGGAAUUUUGGACAAUGGGCGAAAGCCUGAUCCAGCAAUGCCGCGUGUGUGAAGAAGGCCUUCGGGUUGUAAAGCACUUUUGUCCGGAAAGAAAUCCUUGGCCCUAAUACGGUCGGGGGAUGACGGUACCGGAAGAAUAAGCACCGGCUAACUACGU